GCCGAAAUAGCUCAGUUGGGAGAGCGUCAGACUGAAGAUCUGAAGGUCCCUGGUUCGACCCCUGGUUUCGGCA